UUGAACACUGGCGGCAUGCCUAACACAUGCAAGUCGAACGGACCCUUCGGGGUUAGUGGCGCACGGGUGCGUAACGCGUGGGAAUCUGCCCUUGGGUACGGAAUAACUCACCGAAAGGUGUGCUAAUACCGUAUGAUGUCUUCGGACCAAAGAUUUAUCGCCCAGGGAUGAGCCCGCGUAGGAUUAGCUAGUUGGUGAGGUAAAGGCUCACCGAGGCGACGAUCCUGAGCUGGUCUGAGAGGAUGAUCAGCCACACUGGGACUGAGACACGGCCCAGACUCCUACAGGAGGCAGCAGUGGGGAAUAUUGGACAAUGGGCGCAAGCCUGAUCCAGCAAUGCCGCGUGAGUGAUGAAGGCCUUAGGGUUGUAAAGCUCUUUUACCCGGGAAGAUAAUGACUGUACCGGGAGAAUAAGCCCCGGCUAACUCCGUGCCAGCCGCCGCAGUAACAC
rnacentral:rRNA from 1 species